rnacentral:lncRNA from 1 species
UUAGGCCCAAAACGACGUCAUAUGGCCUACACUAUAAAUAGAAAUUUUUUAACCCCAAAAAAACAUUUCAACCCUAUUUAAAAAAAAAUCUACCAAACUCUCUCAACUCUCCCUCUGCCCCAUUAGCUCCGGCAGCUGGCGACGGCGCCGUCGUACACGGUGGCCGGUAAAAAAAGAAAAAGGAGCCUUUUGACCACCUUAACGUCCUCUACCCCGAUUUAAGACCAAAUAAACCAAAAAAAAAAAGAAUCCUUCAGAUCUGCCUCCC